rnacentral:lncRNA from 1 species
CAGGUCUGCAAACCAUUAAUAAUGUGCACCCUCUUUCUCCUGGAUCCUGAAAUAAUUCUGCAGUGAGAAGUCUGUUUGGAGUUGUGCAGUCCUGGGAGUGAGUCCGGUUCUGCCAGGCGCUAGCUGUGUGGCCUUGGGCAAGUCUCUUCACCCCUCUGAGCCUGUUUUCUCAUCUGAAAAGAUACAGACAAGAAUACCUGCCCGUACGAAAGAGGAGGAAGUUGAACGAGGACGAGAAUGAAUUCAACACUAUAGACAAAAUCUCUACAGUCUGCUGGAGUUGUGGAGAAAAAGACCUCAGGAGUGUUGCACAUGUCACAUGCUGCUGUGAGCUCAGUGGUCACUCCAGAUGAUGGGCCGCCUCUCCGACUGAAGUGGGCAGAGAGCAUACAUCACUUAUAUAAGACAGCGCGACCCACUCACCGUGCUCCACGCUUUAAAUAGACUCCAGGCUGCGUCACCUGGUCUAGGCAACUUGUUCUGCGCUCCCUGCCCACCCAGGUCGUUCUUCCACCCUGCCUCUGCCUGCCUGUGGGCGCUUCUACCGCUUAGCAGCUGUGUAAUCUCUCUGAGCCAUAGCUUCCCCAUCCAGAAAAGGAGCAUGGUCAUAGUACAUACAUCAUAAGGU